CGCCAUAACUCUCCUAUGGAAGACAAGGGAUGGUUUGUCUUGGCCCCUGCUCCCAGGUGCACUUGGAGCGUUCAGCCUGUGUUCUGAAGGUAGAGAAAUUAACGACUAUGGUUUACACCCGUAAGGGGGAGAGGGGAGCGCACCUGCCCUGUUUUUAGAGGGUUGAUGAGGUUUGACGAUCACCUCGCUUUCAUCCGUAGAGAGAGGGAGGGAGAUAAGUGUCAAAGGUCAUUACCUGUGUGGAUAGGGAGCACCGGAGGCCAGAGGGGGUAUCACACACUCACUUUACAUGCUUUACAUGCUGAGGUAAUAAGGACACAUCUACAUACAUGUUACAUGCUGAGGUAAUAAGGACACAUCUACAUAUAUGAUACAUGCUGAGGCAAUAAGGACACAUCUACAUACAUGUUACAUGCUGAGGUAAUAAGGACACAUCUACAUACAUGUUACAUGCUGAGGUAAUAAGGACACAUCUACAUAUAUGUUACAUGCUGAGGUAAUAAGGACACAUCUACAUAUAUGAUACAUGCUGAGGCAAUAAGGACACAUCUACAUACAUGUUACAUGCUGAGGUAAUAAGGACACAUCUACAUACAUGUUACAUGCUGAGGUAAUAAGGACACAUCUACAUACAUGUUACAUGCUGAGGUAAUAAGGACACAUCUACAUAUAUGUUACAUGCUGAGGUAAUAAGGACACAUCUACAUAUAUGAUACAUGCUGAGGCAAUAAGGACACAUCUACAUACAUGUUACAUGCUGAGGUAAUAAGGACACAUCUACAUACAUGUUACAUGCUGAGGUAAUAAGGACACAUCUACAUACAUGUUACAUGCUGAGGUAAUAAGGACACAUCUACAUAUAUGUUACAUGCUGAGGUAAUAAGGACACAUCUACAUAUAUGAUACAUGCUGAGGCAAUAAGGACACAUCUACAUACAUGUUACAUGCUGAGGUAAUAAGGACACAUCUACAUACAUGUUACAUGCUGAGGUAAUAAGGACACAUCUACAUAUAUGUUACAUGCUGAGGUAAUAAGGACACAUCUACAUAUAUGAUACAUGCUGAGGCAAUAAGGACACAUCUACAUACAUGUUACAUGCUGAGGUAAUAAGGACACAUCUACAUACAUGUUACAUGCUGAGGUAAUAAGGACACAUCUACAUACAUGUUACAUGCUGAGGUAAUAAGGACACAUCUACAUAUAUGAUACAUGCUGAGGCAAUAAGGACACAUCUACAUACAUGUUACAUGCUGAGGUAAUAAGGACACAUCUACAUACAUGUUACAUGCUGAGGUAAUAAGGACACAUCUACAUAUAUGUUACAUGCUGAGGUAAUAAGGACACAUCUACAUAUAUGAUACAUGCUGAGGCAAUAAGGACACAUCUACAUACAUGUUACAUGCUGAGGUAAUAAGGACACAUCUACAUACAUGUUACAUGCUGAGGUAAUAAGGACACAUCUACAUACAUGUUACAUGCUGAGGUAAUAAGGACACAUCUACAUAUAUGUUACAUGCUGAGGUAAUAAGGACACAUCUACAUAUAUGAUACAUGCUGAGGCAAUAAGGACACAUCUACAUACAUGUUACAUGCUGAGGUAAUAAGGACACAUCUACAUACAUGUUACAUGCUGAGGUAAUAAGGACACAUCUACAUACAUGUUACAUGCUGAGGUAAUAAGGACACAUCUACAUAUAUGUUACAUGCUGAGGUAAUAAGGACACAUCUACAUAUAUGAUACAUGCUGAGGCAAUAAGGACACAUCUACAUACAUGUUACAUGCUGAGGUAAUAAGGACACAUCUACAUACAUGUUACAUGCUGAGGUAAUAAGGACACAUCUACAUACAUGUUACAUGCUGAGGUAAUAAGGACACAUCUACGCAAAUGUUACAUGCUGAGGUAAUAAGGACACAUCUACGCACAUGUUACAUGCUGAGGUAAUAAGGACACAUCUACAUACAUGUUACAUGCUGAGGUAAUAAGGACACAUCUACCUACAUGUUACAUGCUGAGGUAAUAAGGACACAUCUACAUACAUGUUACAUGCUGAGGUAAUAAGGACACAUCUACAUACAUGUUACAUGCUGAGGUAAUAAGGACACAUCUACAUACAUGUUACAUGCUGAGGUAAUAAGGACACAUCUACAUACAUGUUACAUGCUGAGGUAAUAAGGACACAUCUACAUAUAUGUUACAUGCUGAGGUAAUAAGGACACAUCUACAUAUAUGAUACAUGCUGAGGCAAUAAGGACACAUCUACAUACAUGUUACAUGCUGAGGUAAUAAGGACACAUCUACAUACAUGUUACAUGCUGAGGUAAUAAGGACACAUCUACAUACAUGUUACAUGCUGAGGUAAUAAGGACACAUCUACGCAAAUGUUACAUGCUGAGGUAAUAAGGACACAUCUACGCACAUGUUACAUGCUGAGGUAAUAAGGACACAUCUAUAUAUAUGUUACAUGCUGAGGUAAUAAGGACACAUCUACCUACAUGUUACAUGCUGAGGUAAUAAGGACACAUCUACAUACAUGUUACAUGCUGAGGUAAUAAGGACACAUCUACCUACAUGUUACAU